UACGUAGGGUGCAAGCGUUGUCCGGAAUUAUUGGGCGUAAAGAGCUCGUAGGCGGCUUGUUGCGUCGACCGUGAAAACCCGUGGCUCAACUGCGGGCUUGCGGUCGAUACGGGCGGGCUAGAGUUCGGUAGGGGAGACUGGAAUUCCUGGUGUAGCGGUGAAAUGCGCAGAUAUCAGGAGGAACACCGGUGGCGAAGGCGGGUCUCUGGGCCGAUACUGACGCUGAGGUGCGAAAGCGUGGGGAGCAAACAGG
rnacentral:rRNA from 1 species